GUUUCGUUUCUCAUGUGUUUAAAAAAAAUACAAAAUAUUGAAGUUCUCAUAAUCACGUGUUAGAGUUAUCGAAUUGCUAUGUAUAUUAUAGAAAAUAAAUAUUGCGCAGACCGAUUGCGAUACUAGCCGAGAAAAUGUACAUUAAGAUCAGAAAAUUUCCGGAAAUUGUUGGCCCACAAUUCCGGCCGUUUACGACGGAUGUGUUCGCGCAAACGCCCCAAAACGCUCAAAUAAUACUUUUUAUUGACUGCCUGUCCCGUUGGAACGAAUUCAUGAUAAACCAAACCGCGAAUAUCAAAAAAAAAAACAAUUUACGGAAACUUUCUGGUUUCAUGGUCCAACAUGUUGCUACAGAGUAUUAAUGAACGAUUUUAAGACCAUAAACUCGAGGUGGCGUAUGUGCAUCGCUUCAGAAGGAACAUAUUUUGAAUGCGUUUGAACUACUCUUGUGUUCCUAGUAUAUAUUAUAUAUACUUACAUAUAUACAUGUAGCGCAGUGAAAGUUAAACGAUUUUAAUCGAAUCAUAAAUUAAUUAAUCUCAACAUCUUCAUCUUCCGACCUUAGCCAUAAAAAACUUUGGAGGAUCAAGAACACUUUUUAUGAAAAUUUUAUUGAAGAUGGCGUGCAAUGAAACCGAUUAUGUGCAAUAAGACAGCAGACUUGCAAGCAACACUCACUCACAGAGACGCUAAUUGUAUAAAGAAUUCAUGCACGAAUUUAAAUGGGAAUAAAUUUCUUCAUAAGUUCGCCUUAAGUCUGACGUAAGUUUUCGUGAUUUCUUCAAGUUAUGGAAGAUCUUUUGGGCGUAUAUAAGUAAACUUGUUUAAAUGUACAUAUCGAGAUACAUAUAAAGUAUAUAGCUAUGAGCAAAUGGGUAAUGAUCCACUGCUAAUACCCGGUAUUCUUACUCAGUUAUUAUUAUUUUCGUUUUUUUACUGCAAUUUGUUCCAAUAAACGACUAUUUGAUUUGUA